CUGUGUGGAUCAUCAUGCCUAAGUUUUAUUGUGACUACUGCGACACGUACCUCACUCAUGACUCGCCAUCUGUGAGAAAGACACAUUGCAGUGGCAGGAAACACAAAGAGAAUGUGAAAGAUUACUAUCAAAAAUGGAUGGAAGAACAGGCUCAGAGCCUAAUUGACAAAACAACGGCUGCAUUUCAACAAGGAAAGAUACCUCCUACUCCAUUCUCUGCGCCUCCUCCAACAGGUGCCAUGAUCCCACCUCCACCCAGUCUCCCUGGCCCUCCUCUCCCUGGUAUGAUGCCAGCACCCCAUAUGGGGGACCUCCUAUGAUGCCAAUGAUGGGUCCUCCUCCUCCUGGGAUGAUGCCCGUGGGACCUGCUCCUGGAAUGAGACCACCCAUGGGAGGCCACAUGCCAAUGAUGCCUGGGCCCCCAAUGAUGAUGCCCACGCGGCCAGGAAUGACUCGACCAGACAGAUAAGGACAGAGUGCAGCUUCUUUGUAUCAGUUUUAUAUUACUUGUACUACUUCACCAGGAGAUCCUGG